GGGUUUUUUUCCACAUCUCUUUAUUAAAUCAUGCAUUUACAUUAAAAAAAAGUCUUCCAGUCCAGGGCAUAAUCACCUCACUGCACCGAAGGAGUCACAUUCCGCACUUAGAUUAUUACGUAGCUAUUCCAUAUUAAAUUAUAUUCACAGCUAUUAAAGGUGAAAGCAGACGCAGCUUGGAGGAGCAGUGGCUGCUGCAGGAUGGCAACAGCCUUCCAGAAGGCAUCAGGAGAGCCGCGAGGUCGUUUGCAAUUCACCAUGGCUAAUUAAGUUGUUCUCGGUGUUAACAGCUGAAAAACCAUUCAGAGUAGUUGAUGUAUCAGCUUUGUUAAGUAGGAUAUUGGCUUUAUGGGGUGAGAGCAAAUAAUGUGCAAGAGAGAAUUCCUCACACCCCAAACAAUCAGAACAUGGCCUAAAGAAAAGCUAAUUGCAAUGAUUCCUUUUUGUGCUAAUUAACAGGUUUUGUAUGGAGAAGGACACUUUCCCAUGCCAACCUAGGGGACCUGGCAAAGCCAGAACAGCUUUUGCCCUGCUGCGCGUCCGAAGACAAGGAACGAGAGGAGGUUUGCACAGCGCUGGCUGUUUCUCCUCACAGUCCGGGAGGCUGUGCAGGACCACAAUUAUUUAAUUGAGAGCCCAUAUUUCUGUGCCAGCCUCCCAGCCCCUCCGCAGCAGCUGGGGAGCGAUUCCUGCCUUCGCUGUGAUUAGCAUGCAGAGCCCGUUGUCGCGGCAGACCUGGAGCCAGCAGACUGCUUUCCCCCCAGGUGACCUCGAUAAAUUUAGCCUGUGAACUGCAAUUAAAAUGAACUGAGUCGUUCCGCUCGAAACCGAGACAUUUCGACCAUCUCAGUGGAUGGCUUUGGGAUGUUCAGCAUGAAAAUGCCAGCCGUUCGUAAGAUCACUUUGUUUUACACAAUGCAGAGAAUUAAAUGUCUCUGUCUGAAAAGUCAGCGUGUCCACACUAUUUCCCUUUCUAAUAGGAGUCACUGACACAGGAAAGGAAAGAUGCGCUGAAGCCCAAAUCCGAUUGUCCGUUGCAUUUAGUGCGUGUUGGAACUUUUAUAUAAUUAUCCAAUUUGAGCUGUCCAUUUGAGGAGAGCUUAAUGAAUGGAGGAAGAAUAGAGAUUAAAAAUGAUUUAAUAAGUGAUUCUUAAUCAAGUUCUGCCCCAUCUGCUUUUACGUAGAUUCGUACAAUGUCCUGAGCUGGAAGGGACCCACCAGGAUCAUGGAUCCAACCCUUGUCCAAGCACAGGACACCCCAACAUUCACACUGUGUGGCUGAGAGCGUUGGCCAAACGCUGCUGGAAUAUUGUCAGGCUGUGACUGCUUCCCUGGGAGCUGAUUCUGGGCCCCACCAUCUCUGGGCAGUUUUGCCUCUGAUGUCCAGAACCAGCAUUUCUUUAAAGGAGUACAAAAAAAAAGAUUCCAAAAAUGAGUCACAGUUUUUGCUGCCUUUCCAAGGUAACAAUUUAUUGUGUUUUACACUUGGCGGCAGGACUUCAGGAGUUUAUAUCCGCAGCUGUUCCUGCAGCGCCACAGCCUCGUCUGACAUAAUUCAAGGUAGCAUUUGUGACUUCAGUGGAGCGGUCUGUAUUUACACUGCCUGACAUUCCUGCUUCUGUAUUUCUGUGAAGGUCUGAGCUCUGGAAUCCUGCAGCAUCUGCUUCCUUUUUUAUAAAGUCAUGGAAUGGUUUGGGUUGAAAGGGACCUCAAAGCCCAUCCAGUGCCACCCCCUGCCAUGGGCAGGGACACCUCCCACUGGAUCAGGGGCUCCAAGCCCCAUCCAACCUGGCCUGGAACCCCUCCAGGGAUGGGGCAGCCCCCACUGCUCUGGGCACCCUGGGCCAGGGCCUCCCCACCCUCAGCGUGAAGAAUUUCUUCCUAAUAUCUCAUCUCAAUCUUCGCCCUCCCAGUUUAAAGCCAUUCCCCCUCAUCCUGUCCCUGCACUCCCUGACCCAGAGCCCCUCCCCAGCUUUCCUGGAGCCCCUUUCCUUGGCCAGCCGCCUCCUCGCUGCUUUGGAGACCACGCAGCGCGUGUGCACCAGGGAAACACACCCAAAUAUCACAUUCAGCUGCUGAUGUUGUAUCGCAAGCUGAGGCAAGACACAAAUCCAGCGCCGCUGGAUUGAUGGUUCAGAUGGUUCUUUAGCUGCGUAAAUGCUAAAAUAGCUGCGGCAGUUAGAAAAUGCCAAACCCGGUGAUAGACUGUCUGCUUUUGAAUUAUUCAAGAUGUCACUCGCAAAGACCUGCAGAGGCUUUGGUGAUGUGUUCUCCCUUGUUCGCCAGGGCGCCACGCGGCGCGUGAGGCUGCGUUUGCAUGCGGUGGGGUAGAAAUCCCUGCUUUGAGAAGAUCCUCUGAAAACACGGCAGUGUAUGCAGGGGCGGUGCGGAUCACACGACGCUUCGUGGGCAUGGAGGAUGCUCUGAGGACGGAGCAAUGCUCAUUGGCUCCAAGAGGAACUCAUGGCUGGCCAGAGCUGGUCCCAUCAGCAACAGUGGUGGCACCUCUGGGAUAACAGAGUUAAGAAGGAGGGGAAAGUCCUGCACGAUCAGAAUCUCAGUCAGAGAGAGAAGUGAGAAUAUGAGAGAAAAACCACUCUGAAGACACCAAAGUCAGUGAAGAAGGGGCAGAAGAUACUCCAGGUACCAGAGCAGAGAUUCAACUGCAGCCUGUGUUGGUGACUGUGGUGAGGUAGGCUAUUCCCUUGCAGCCCACGGACCUUAACGGUAGAGGAAGGAUCCACCUGCAGCCCAUGGAGGUUAAUGGUGGAGGAAAGAUCCACCUGCAACCCAUGGAGGUUAACAGUAGAGCAGAUCUCCACCCACAACCUCCUCCACAACAAUGGAGGACCUCAUGCCUGAAGGAGGCUGUGACCCUAUGGGAGAUCUGUGCUGGAGCAGGCUCCUGGCAGAACUGGUGGACCGUAGAGAGAGGAGACCAUGCUGGAGUAGUUUUGCUUGCAGGAGUAGUUGUUCUCAUGUGGGAUCCACACUGGAGCAGUCUGUGCCUGAAGGACUUGCACUCCAUGGAAGGAUCUCAUGCUGAAGCAGUUUGUGAAGAACUGUAGCCCAUGGGAAGGACUUACAUUGGAGAAGUUCAUGGAGGACUGUCUCCUGUGGGAGGGACCACGCACUGGAGCAGGGGAAGAAUGUUACGAGUCUUCCCCCUGAGAAGGAAGGAGCUGCAGAGACAACAUGUGAGGAACUGGGUGCAACCUCCAUCCUCUGUCCCCCUGCACCGCUGCCAGAGGAGAAGCAACAUGUCCAGGGAAGACAAAGAGCACUUUGGAAGAGAAGAACCUUUUAUUUCUUACCAGGCAAAUCUUGCCCCGAGCCCAGGCUUUCACAGCACAGUGUUCAAGUGGAACAUUCAAGGUUCUCAUUGACGGAUGCAAAACCAUACUGCACUACCUCCCAGCUGCCCUUGCACGAAUCCUUCAAGUUGCGGGUGAUUUCAGCCAGUUUUCCAGUGUCUUUCAUAAAAUGCUCCAGAUAACGCAGACAGGAUGGGUUCUUCCUAAUGUCCCUCAACCUCAGAAGGAGAAAUGCUUCUUUCUUUGGGGAACAUCAGCAAUGUGUGUGGUGCCCCUGUUAAAAGACAAAGGAAGAAAGUGCAAUAAGAGGUGUCUGGAGUGGAGGCAAGAAGGAAAUUGAACAAGGUCAGAGCAACUGAAGGUUCUCCAUGGCAGAGCAGGUACAGUUCCAAAGGGGAUGUGGGCCAGGGAUAACCCUUGCCUGUGCAGAGGAGAGAUGUAAGAAGGAAGGAGCAGCAGAAGAGCGAGAAGGAAAGAGGGACACACUGAACACGCUACAGUUGUCCAUGAUUUUCAAGUAAAGGUGGCUUGAAAUCUUCACAGGUUUAUCCAGAUAAGUCUCUGAGUAAGGUUUCCAUUGAUAAUUAGAAAUCCCUGCACAGUUUGGAGAUAAAGAAUAUGCACUAACUAUGCUAUUCUUUCUUCUGAGA